rnacentral:rRNA from 1 species
UAGCGUAGGGCGCAAGCGUUAUCCGGAAUUAUUGGGCGUAAAGAGCGUGUAGGCGGCUUGGUAGGUCCGCUGUGAAAACUCGAGGCUCAACCUCGAGAUGUCGGCGGAAACCACUUGGCUAGAGUCCGGAAGAGGAGAGUGGAAUUCCCGGUGUAGCGGUGAAAUGCGCAGAUAUCGGGAAGAACACCUAUGGCGAAGGCAGCUCUCUGGGACGGUACUGACGCUGAGACGCGAAAGCGUGGGGAGCGAACAGG